rnacentral:lncRNA from 1 species
UAUACAGUUUUAGUUUAGGGUCUAGGAUUUGGUUUAGGGUAUAUGGUUUGGAUGUAAGGUUUACGGUUUGAGUUUAGGGUCUAGGAUUUGGGUUUAGAGUAUACGGUUUGGGUUUAGGGUCUAAGAUUUGGGUUUAGUGUAUAGGGUUUGGGUUUAAAAUUUACGGUUUAGGGUUAAGAAUUUAAGAUUUCGGGUUUACGGUUUAGCUGGCGGCGUCAGCAUUGUUAAAAUUAGCAUUAUUCUUUUUUUUAGUUAUUUUAAAAUAAAUUUAAUAUUUUUUAAUUAAUCAUCUACGUGACAUUUUGAUUGGUCCUAGAAAGAUAGGUGAACUUAAAGGGUGAGGGUGAACCUAAGUUUUGUUUAAUUUCCUUGGAUCGUGAGAGGUGAGACUACGAAAUAGUUUAUUUGGUGAAAUAGUUUAUUUGGUAAAAACAGAAAACAAUGUGAUGUUCCAACUUUUCUUCUUUUUUAAUAAACUUGUUAAAUCUUUUGGAUUUCUAACUUAAUUUUUUUUUAUCAUUAAUCAACUUAGCUAUCAAAAAAAAUUCUAACUAUAUUAAAUAUUUUUUUUUGUUAAAUUGUAAAUCUGAUUAUCAAAAUGAACGUUAAGGUUACAAGAUGUUGUUAAACAAGCGGUAAGACCUCUAUGCUUGAUUACACAGCAAAAAAGUUAAAAAAAAACAUGUAAUAAAAUAACAAUCGAAACUGAAACCAUUCUUCUUGGAGGCGAACAUGACAACAGAUACGAUACAGUCUUGAAAAGUCGGCUAAAAGAUAGAAUUGAGAUGGACAAGAAUGGAGAGACCCGAAGACCAGAAAUCGAGGAACACGACUCUAGCAAGAAGUUGUUUCAAUCAGCUGCCUGAACUAUUACCUUUCUCAGAGAAACAGAGACAAACCCGCUCAAAAACCACCCUCAAAGUCCGGGCUGGGUAAGAUCUGCACCUAAUUCCGGCAAGGACGGGAUAACAGAGACCACAAGUGCUUAAUAGCGCUCAACUCACCCAACCACACUGGUCCUCUCAGCCGGUUAAGGAUAAGGGUGCAGCAUCACCACCUCUCGGGUCUUACUCCCUCCUCCAGCCGCAAGGUGCGACCCCAUGCUCCGUAAAAUCAAAGUAUCUCCACAGCCUCACUCGAUUAAACUUACAAAUCAAACUAGACUCACAAGCAACACCAAUCAACACCAAAAGGGGGACGAGGAGCUGAUUAAAGCAUCACUCAAUAGCAAACCAUCUAGCUUGACUCUAUGGGAAGGAACUCCAUAACGAAGUAUGAGAUCUCGGGACCUCUAGCUUAGCGGACCAUACCCAGAUUACCUUGGAUUGAGAUGGCUAGAAGCGAAGUUUGGAGACCACUCCAUCGAAGUGACCUAGAUGUUGGGAGAGGAGAGACAUUCACCGAUGGAGAGAAACAACAGAGCGUCAACCUAAUCGCUAGAGAAGCCAAGACGCUACACGACCAUCCCAUAAUGGAACUGAAGCCAGAACUACAAAAUUUGCAAAGGACCACCAGCAGAACAUAGACCCUUCGCCAACGGCUGCCGCAAUGGAGAAAAAGAUGGACUAGGCGGGAUAAUCCAUCGUGGGCCUUCUCGCAGCGCCGGGGAGGCAGGGAGGAGAUGGAAGUUGAAGAAGACGAGCACUAGGUUUUAAGAGAGCGUGUGACUUCACGCUCUAAUAUUAAAUAUUUAUUUUUUGGCUCAACUUCAACUUUCAUUAACCAACAAUUG